CUACGGGGCGCACCAGUGAGGAAUAUUGCACAAUGGGGGGAACCCUGAUGCAGCAACGCCGCGUGGAGGAUGACGCAUUUCGGUGUGUAAACUCCUUUUAUAUGUCAAGAAAAUGACGGUAGCAUAUGAAUAAGCACCGGCUAACUCCGUGCCAGCAGCCGCGGUAAUACGGAGGGUGCAAGCGUUACUCGGAAUCACUGGGCGUAAAGGACACGUAGGCGGGUUGGAAAGUCAGGUGUGAAAUCCUACAGCUUAACUGUAGAACUGCAUUUGAAACUUCUAAUCUAGAGUAUGGGAGGGGGAGAUGGAAUUAGUGGUGUAGGGGUAAGAUCCGUAGAUAUCACUAGGAAUACCUAAAGCGAAGGCGAUCUCCUGGAACAUUACUGACGCUAAGGCGUGAAAGCGUGGGGAGCAAACAGGAUUAGAUACCCGCGUAGUC
rnacentral:rRNA from 1 species